rnacentral:rRNA from 1 species
GCAUAUCAAUAAGCGGAGGAAAAGAAACUAACAAGGAUUCCCCUAGUAGCGGCGAGCGAAGCGGGAAGAGCUCAAAUUUAUAAUCUGGCACCUUCGGUGUCCGAGUUGUAAUCUCUAGAAAUGUUUUCCGCGUUGGACCGCACACAAGUCUGUUGGAAUACAGCGGCAUAGUGGUGAGACCCCCGUAUAUGGUGCGGACGCCCAGCGCUUUGUGAUACAUUUUCGAAGAGUCGAGUUGUUUGGGAAUGCAGCUCAAAUUGGGUGGUAAAUUCCAUCUAAAGCUAAAUAUUGGCGAGAGACCGAUAGCGAACAAGUACCGUGAGGGAAAGAUGAAAAGCACUUUGGAAAGAGAGUUAACAGUACGUGAAAUUGUUGGAAGGGAAACGCUUGAAGUCAGACUUGCUUGCCGAGCAAUCGGUUUGCAGGCCAGCAUCAGUUUUCCGGGAUGGAUAAUGGUAGAGAGAAGGUAGCAGUUUCGGCUGUGUUAUAGCUCUCUGCUGGAUACAUCUUGGGGGACUGAGGAACGCAGUGUGCCUUUGGCGGGGGUUUCGACCUCUUCACACUUAGGAUGCUGGUGGAAUGGCUUUAAACGACCCGUCUUGAAACACGGACCAAGGAGUCUAACAUGCUUGCGAGUAUUUGGGUGUCAAACCCGGAUGCGUAAUGAAAGUGAAUGGAGGUGGGAACCGCAAGGUGCACCAUCGACCGAUCUGGAUUUUUAAUGAUGGAUUUGAGUAAGAGCACGUAUGUUGGGACCCGAAAGAUGGUGAACUAUGCCUGAAUAGGGCGAAGCCAGAGGAAACUCUGGUGGAGGCUCGUAGCGGUUCUGACGUGCAAAUCGAUCGUCAAAUUUGGGUAUAGGGGCGAAAGACUAAAUCGAACCAUCUAGUAGCUGGUCCUGCCGA